UUUCCGUAGGUGAACCUGCGGAAGGAUCAUUACCGAGCUUACAACUCCCAAACCCCUAUGUGAACGUUACCAAACUGUUGCCUCGGCGGGAAAUUCAUGCCCCGGGCGCGUCGCAGCCCCGGACCAAGGCGCCCGCCGGAGGACCAACCAAAACUCUUUUGUAUGUCCCUCGCGGACUUUUAUAAUUCUGAACCAUCUCGGCGCCCCUAGCGGGCGUUUCGAAAAUGAAUCAAAACUUUCAACAACGGAUCUCUUGGUUCUG
rnacentral:misc_RNA from 1 species